rnacentral:rRNA from 1 species
GCAUGGUUCGAAAUUGAAAGGCGGCUUCGGCUGUCACUUAUGGAUGGACCCGCGUCGCAUUAGCUAGUUGGUGAGGUAACGGCUCACCAAGGCAACGAUGCGUAGCCGACCUGAGAGGGUGAUCGGCCACACUGGGACUGAGACACGGCCCAGACUCCUACGGGAGGCAGCAGUAGGGAAUCUUCCGCAAUGGACGAAAGUCUGACGGAGCAACGCCGCGUGAGUGAUGAAGGCUUUCGGGUCGUAAAACUCUGUUGUUAG